UACGAAGGGGGCUAGCGUUGCUCGGAAUCACUGGGCGUAAAGCGCACGUAGGCGGAUUGCUAAGUCAGGGGUGAAAUCCUGGAGCUCAACUCCAGAACUGCCUUUGAUACUGGCGAUCUCGAGUCCGGAAGAGGUUGGUGGAACAGCUAGUGUAGAGGUGAAAUUCGUAGAUAUUAGCUAGAACACCAGUGGCGAAGGCGGCCAACUGGUCCGGUACUGACGCUGAGGUGCGAAAGCGUGGGGAGCAAACAGG
rnacentral:rRNA from 1 species